GUUUGCACUUUGCAUCGGAAAUCGUCAUCGAUGACGGUUCGGGAUAUUAAAAUCAAAAUGUGAGUCGAAUCUAUCUCCUUUGUGAAAUAAUCUAUCUAAAAUGAACGUCGUCGCAAAAAUGGCAGGAAUAAGUGGUAAAACAGGAACCCGCAGACGAGAUGCAAUCAGAGUGCAAGUUAUGAAAUGUUCGGGCCUGUUGCAACCUGAGUAUAAGAGCUUCAGUAUAGAUCCUGAAAUCACCAGCUUUGACAUGCUACAGCUUCUCCUUGUACAAGCAUUCCAACUAAAGAUAGGUUUUACCAUCAGCUACCUGUCACAUGAUGACAGAGGUCAGGAGGUCUAUCUAUCCAUGUUGUCUGAUUGGGAUUUAGAUGCUGCUAUCUGUGGAGCUUCAGACCCAUGCCUUAGGCUUAAAGUGGAUGCUAAACCAUUUGAUGGUCCAGGACUCUUGGAGGACUGGGAUGUGAUAACAGGAAUGGAAGCACCUCUUCACAAUUCCCAUGAUCGCAGCCAUUCUGUACCACUAGUCGGCGCUUUUAUGGAUCAAGUUGGGAAGACCUUCAAUAGGUUUCAGAAAAUCUUCACAACCAAUGAUGAUUCAAUGGAAGGGGAAAAGUAUGAAAUGCCAAUGAGACCUCUGGAUGAUCAGGAGUUCUGGUCAUUCUUGGAUCCACUUGGACGUCUUGAGAGACCACAGGAGCUACGUAUUAGGGUGUACCAGGGAGGUGUUGAAUCAUCCCUGCGCAAGGUAGUCUGGCGCCAUCUCUUGAAUAUCUAUCCCGAGGGUAUGACUGGAAAUGAGAGGCUAGACUACAUUCGAACCAAAUCAAGAGAAUAUGAGCGGUUGAGAGACAGACUUCAAAACGACCCCAGAGAGGACUUCAAAAAUAUUAAGAACAUGGUGCGUAAGGAUGUUCUACGGACUGAUCGUCUUGAGAAGUUCUAUUCUGGCGGGGAUGAAAACCCAAAUGGUAUUAAGUUGUUCAAUGUCUUGACAACCUACUCACUGGCACAUCCUGAUGUAUCAUACUGCCAAGGUAUGAGUGACCUGGCUUCACCCAUUCUCUAUGUAAUGAAUGAUGAAGCUCAGGCCUACAUUUGCUUUUGCAGUUUGAUGAAACGUCUUAAAGGUAAUUUUAUGCCUGACGGACAUGCCAUGUCCAUCAAGUUUUUGCACCUUACAGAACUCAUUCGCUGUUUGGCUCCUGACUUUUAUGAUUACCUCAAAGAACAGAAUGCAGAUGAUCUCUAUUUCUGUUACAGGUGGCUACUUUUGGAGCUGAAGAGAGAGUUUGCAUUCCAGGAUGCAUUGAGGAUGUUGGAGAUUAUGUGGAGUUCCCUCCCUCCAGAUCCCCCAACUGAUGGUGUUACACUAAAUGGACCGAUCACUGGGAAUUCCCCUUCAGCAUAUGCAAUUGACAGGGUCCGCUUCCGCUUCUCACGUCUCAGGAGCUCAUCUAGGGACAGUCUAGGCAGUCAGAGCAGUUUGAACAAAACCCCACAGUCUGUAUCACAUGCUGACAGCAAUUCCAAAGAACAGUUGAAAGAGGAAGAUCCAAGCAGGGUGAGUGAAACACUCAGGGAAGUAGAUGACGAGGAAGCAGAUAGUAACAAGAACGAAGAACAGUGCGAAGAAAAAGAAUCAUGUGCUACCAAAUUGGAGCCUGCAGAAAAGAAAUCUAAAUCAUCGAAAGUCAAAAAGUAUAGAACUGAGUUGCAUAUUUCUAUUGAAAAGGAAGACCUAUCUGGGAGAAAUACUAAUGAAGGGAUAUCAAAUCAUAGAGGACAGGGUGAAGAAAGCAAACCCAACAACAAUGCAAAGAGCCAUCCAACUAGCCUAGCAUUCUAUCAGAAAUCAAGUGAUGAUAUGACCUCUCCUGGAAGUGAAACCUCUCCUCUCCUAAAUUCCUUACCGAAGUCUCCUCCCAAAUCUCCCCAGAGACCCCACCCCAUGUCACCACUAAAAUUCCCCCGUCAGUCUCCAUCUUCCCCCUCCCGUAGCCUGUACAGAGGCUUGCCCCCUCCUCAAGACUUUGGUGGAGGGAACCCCUUCAUGAUGUUUGUCUGUGCUGCAUUGCUUCUUGGUCACAGUCGCAGGAUCAUGGCCAAUAAAAUGGACUAUAAUGAAAUGGCCAUGCUGUUUGAUAGGAUGGUACGCAAGCAUCACCUGAGCAAGGUAUUGCAUCAUGCUAGAGCCUUGUACUUGGAGUAUCUACAAUCUGAGGCGGCUAGGCCACAGGUUCAGGUUGUAGGGACCAAAGCAGCUGGGAAGGAUGGACCAAGUGGUAUGUCAGGUCUUAAUGGCUCUGCCGCUGCAACAAUCCAAGGCUCUUGUUAAUGUAAUCAAUAAAGCCGCAUCCAAACUGCCUAGAAAUUGUUUAUUGUUAAUGUAUGUUUUUAGUGCAGUCUUAAAGGUCUGGAUAGUGGAUGCAGUCCGGAUGACAAGUGGGAGAGAGUUACAGAGGGUUGCAGCAUUGAGGUGAAGGUGCUAUGGCUGUAGUACUGUGUCUUAAAACAAGGAACCUGAAGAAGAUGCUUAUUCUGUGACCUCAGAGCACGGGAAGGAGUGUAGGUGUUGAUGAGUUCAGAAAGAUAUGACGAACCAGACAGAGACUUAUAGGUGAAGAGGAGGAUCUUCAGGCAAAUUCACUUGUCAAUUGGAAGCCAGUGGAAGUUACGAAGGAGGGAUGAGUUGGAAGUCAGUCCAUUAGCUCACACUGUGAUUCUAGCUGCUAUGUAUGUUGUUGCCUUUGACUUGCUUUUAAUUUUUAUUUUCAGGAUUUUCAUUUGCCUUCAGAUCCCAAGUAUUCACUUUCCUUUCUUGUUUAAUAGAGAUAUCAGUUUCUUUUCUCAUUCUAUUUUGAUGAUGACUGAUGAGUAAUGAUGGUAGGAUAUUUUUUUACCAUGUCACAACUUUUACUUUAUAUGGUUCGUGCUAAGAAAUGAAGAUAUUUCUGCCGUGGCGUCUGUCAUCUGUCCACAGUUUCAAAAUGCUUCUUCUUUGUCAUUUUAAAUUUGAUUUCAUUUUUGUUUACUUUUAUGAUAGCACUAGGUGGAGGAUUCAAAACUUAUACACAGAAUUUAGUGGGUUUUUUUUACAUUUGAGAGCUACAUGAGGUUCACCAAGUUUCUUCACAGAAUUUAGACAUUUUUACUAGAAAAUUAUGCUAAUUUAUACAAAAUUUAUUCAUAAAUCACAAAAAUGCUUCUCUGUCAUUUCUUCAUCAAU
rnacentral:misc_RNA from 1 species